rnacentral:rRNA from 1 species
AGAGUUUGAUCAUGGCUCAGGAUGAACGCUAGCGGCAGGCCUAAUACAUGCAAGUCGAACGCUCAGUAGCAAUACUGGGAGUGGCGCACGGGUGCGUAACGCGUACACAAUCUACCUCUAAGCGGGGGACACCUCCUGGAAACGGGGAUUAAUACCGCAUAAUAUGCCGAAGUCGCAUGACUUUGGUAUUAAAGCCGCAAUGCACUUAGAGAUGAGUGUGCGUCCCAUUAGGUAGUUGGUGAGGUAACGGCUCACCAAGCCUAUGAUGGGUAGCCGGUCUGAGAGGAUGGUCGGCCACACGGGCACUGAGACACGGGCCCGACUCCUACGGGAGGCAGCAGUAAGGAAUAUUGGUCAAUGGUGGAAACACUGAACCAGCCAUGCCGCGUGGAGGAAUAAGGUCCUACGGAUUGUAAACUCCUUUUGACGAGGAAGAAAAUGUUAGAUUUAUCUAAUUUUGACGGUACUCGUAGAAUAAGCACCGGCUAACUCCGUG